GCAGCAACCUGGGUAGUAUCAGAGGACAACAAACAUUAGUCCUCAGCUCCCAAGAGGACAACAUGUGCAAAGAAGGAACAGCCGGCGCCUGAUGUCCGCCCCCAGUGCCCACUCAAAGAAGUGAGGGGUCAAAGGUGCAGCAGUGAAGGUGAAAAUGCAUCUCUGACCUCUUCUGUUUGUUCAAGGUGGCCUCUAUGCAGAUCAAGGCACCAAGUUCAGCUCUAAGACUCCCCUCUUCUUCCAAGAGAAAGUUGUCUCUUUCAUUUUCACUGGCACAAGACCUGCUUCAUUCUUUUUCAAUGGCCUCUUUUAUUUCUUUCCGUCUUUGCCUGCCUCAAUCUUGCCAUUUUCUCAUAACCUCUCUUUUAAAUCUGCAUCAUGUGCGUUUCUCUUCGAGUUAUCUUUUCUCUUUAUCUUAGCUCUCUUUCAUUUUUAAAUCUUCUGUGGUACCAACCAUCCCUGAUCCUUGUUCUACCCUUCUAUGGCUCUCUCAGUGUGGCCUAGACACCCUGUAGUCUGGAAAUGGGCCCGUCGCAGCCCUGCCCUUGUGGUCCUCUGCACAGCCCCGUGGGUAAUGGGCAUUGUGUAUUCCCACUGAUCCCUGACGGAGCCAUAUUGUGCCUCGGUGGGAUGUCAGGCGCACAAAGCCAACCAGCCUGCCACAUUGUCUCACACUCCAAAUGAAGAAGUUCCUCCUCUGGCUCCCAACACGGCCUUGAAAUGUCAAAAGGGGAAGGAGCAGGCGAAGAGUGUUGGUGUGUUUUGAAUGCAUGUGUGUUUUGUUUGGGGUGGGAGGGGCUUUUGUUGAAAAUGAGGGAUGUGUGUUACUCAUUAAUGCACCAACACUCCACUCAUUUGGAUCCAAAUCCCAGAGGCAAGUCCUCGAGACACACACUUUCACCAAUGGGUGCUUGCGCACACAGAGACAAGCUCAGACACACAUGUUGGGCUUCAAAUCUGAUGGGAAACCAAUUGUGGAUUUAUGAAUAAUAUUUCGAUGUCAAUGUUCACAUUGACCAUGUGUACAGACAUCAGUUAGGUCUUACUGACUAAUAAGGUGACUUUUGUGUCUGUUUUUUUAUUAACUUAAAAGGAAUAU